GCUUGUCUCAAAGAUUAAGCCAUGCAUGUCUAAGUACAAGCCGCUAGUUCGGCGAAACCGCGAAUGGCUCAAUAAAUCAGUUAUGGUUCCUUAGAUCCACUCCAUCCUACUUGGAUAACUGUGGUAAUUCUAGAGCUAAUACAUGCGUCAAGUCCCAACUUGAUGGAAGGGCUGUGCUUAUUAGAUACAAAACCAAUUCAGGCUUGCCUGAUUGAUUGGUGAUUCAUGAUAACUGUAUGAAUUGAAUGGCUUUGGCUGUCAAUGCAUCAUUCAAGUUUCUGACCUAUCAGCUUCCGACGGUAGGGUAUUGGCUUACCGUGGCAAUGACGGGUAACGGAGAAUUAGGGUUUGAUUCCGGAGAGGGAGCCUGAGAAACGGCUACCACAUCUAAGGAAGGCAGCAGG
rnacentral:rRNA from 1 species